CAAAAUGUAGCUUAACUAAAGCCCCUCGCUUACACCGAGAGUAUAUCUGUUUGACCCAGGUCAUUUUGAG
rnacentral:tRNA from 1 species